UUUCCGUAGGUGAACCUGCGGAAGGAUCAUUAAAGAACGCCCCGUUUUUUGAAAUGGGUAAUUCUAAACCGUGUAUACAUACCUUUGUUGCUUUGGCAGGCCGCCCCUCAGGGCGUCGGCUCCGGCUGACUGCGCCUGCCAGAGGACCCAAACUCUUUUAUUUAGUGAUGUCUGAGUACUAUAUAAUAGUUAAAACUUUCAACAACGGAUCUCUUGGUUCUG
rnacentral:misc_RNA from 1 species